rnacentral:lncRNA from 11 species
UGCAGAUCCCAGUCAGGUGGCCUUUUGCAGUUGGCAGAUCGUGAUUUUGUCAAUGUCUAUUGUUUCCAAAUGCCGGCUGAGAUCUUUUGGCACGGCACCCAAUGCGCCGAUCACCACCGGGACCACCUGCACUGGUUUCUGCCAGAGUCUUUGAAGUUCAAACUCACAGCAACCCUAUUAUUAUUAUUAUUACUAUUGCGAUGAUGAUGAUGAUGACUAUUAUUAUAAGAGUAAGGAGACCCUGGUGGUGCAGUGAGUUAAACCCUUGAUGACUUGA